GACGAACGCUGGCGGCGUGCUUAACACAUGCAAGUCGAACGGAAAGGCCCUGCUUUUGUGGGGUGCUCGAGUGGCGAACGGGUGAGUAACACGUGAGUAACCUGCCCUUGACUUUGGGAUAACUUCAGGAAACUGGGGCUAAUACCGGAUAGGAGCUCCUGCUGCAUGGUGGGGGUUGGAAAGUUUCGGCGGUUGGGGAUGGACUCGCGGCUUAUCAGCUUGUUGGUGGGGUAGUGGCUUACCAAGGCUUUGACGGGUAGCCGGCCUGGGAGGGUGACCGGCCACCUUGGGCCUGAGGUACGGCCCAGACUCCUACGGGCGGCAGCAGUGGGGAAUAUUGCACAAUGGGCGGAAGCCUGAUGCAGCAACGCCGCGUGCGGGAUGACGGCCUUCGGGUUGUAAACCGCUUUCGCCUGUGACGAAGCGUGAGUGACGGUAAUGGGUAAAGAAGCACCGGCUAACUACGUG
rnacentral:rRNA from 1 species